rnacentral:rRNA from 1 species
UACGAAUCGUCCAAACGUUGUUCGGAUUUACUGGGUUUAAAGGGCGCGUAGGCGGUGCGCUAAGUCGGUGGUGAAAUCCUUCGGCUCAACCGGAGAAUUGCCGCUGAAACUGGCGUGCUCGAGGGAGGUAGAGGUGCGUGGAACUUCCGGUGGAGCGGUGAAAUGCGUUGAUAUCGGAAGGAACACCUGUGGCGAAAGCGAUGCACUGGACCUCUUCUGACGCUGAGGCGCGAAAGCCAGGGGAGCGAACGGG